rnacentral:lncRNA from 1 species
UUUUUUUUUUUUUUUUGGUUUUUGUUCUUGUCUGUUAAGAGCUAGCCGAGAGAGGGAGGGAAAAGAUUUUUUUCUUUUGUGGCUUGUCUAUUGGCGGGCAAAGAAAAGAGCCGAAAAUGAGAGGAAUUCUUCUUUGAGAGAAAAGUUGCUGCUAAUUUUUGUCUUCGGAAGAAGCCCAGAGAACCCAGAGGGACUUGGGAGGAUGAGGAGUGCUUUUUUUUCUUAGUUGUCUUGUGUGUGUGAGAGCCGAGAGAUUGUAUUGAGAGAAAAGAUGGGGAGUUGGUUUGUUUUCUUGUCAAAAAAUGAUUGUCUUCCCACCUAAUCAAAAGAAAGAAGCAUGGAAAUCGAGUGUGAAAUGGGUUAAGUGUAUUUGGCGGAAAAAAAUGAUUAGGAUGAUUUCUUGAUUUCCUCUUUUUUUUUUUUUGUUGCUAUUUUGCUUUGUUUUGUUGUUUUUUUAGUUUUUGUUUUCCUUUUUUGUGUUUUUUUUUUCUUUCCCUAAAACAAACCUGCAAAAUGAGAAAAACACACGUUAAAAUGUAAGAAAAUAAAUAACUCAUUAAAUAAAAAAAAUUCAAGAAAUAUUAAAAAUUGAUAAAAAUUUGGUAUUUAUACUCAUAAAAUUUAUCAAAAUUUUUAAAUUAUAUACUCCAAAAUAUCUAAAAAUUUACACAUUUUAAAAAAAAUUUUUACAAUAUCUACAAUAAGUUACAGUAAAAUUUUAGACAAACACUCGAAAAACUCAUUUACCAAACGAGACCUAAUCCUUUCAAUGGUGGUUGGUUUGAAGUGGACAUUCGAUUGGAGUGACUGGACCGAAUUUGGAUUGUGUUUAUCGCUGCCGCCGCUUGUGGGGCCCGCCUUCUUAUAAUAAGAAGCUCAGGCGGAUGGGGCUUCAGGGUUUUAGAUUUAUAGCCGACGUCCUUUAAAAUAAAUAAAUAAAAGAUUUAUAGCCGACAGAGACAGAAUGGAACGUCAUAGGGAGCGCUGGUGCUGGUUGGGUGCUUUAUAGUUUUGGUUAAUUGCAUUUACCUCCCCGGAGGUUUGGCCAAAUUUCAAGUUAGACCUUUAGGUUUAACCAAACUACGAAAAGCUCCCUGAAAUUCAAAACUUCAUAUUAAAAAAUGUGCCCUGCUAUUAGCAAACUAACGUUGACCUCCUAAGUUUGGCGAAUUUCUCGAAAUAAUAUUGAUAUAGGAAAAAAUCACAAAUAUAGUAUUUUGUGGGAUUUGUUUCCAAAAUAAGGGUCGUCGCACCUGAGAAAAUCGACGCACAAAAAUUUCUAAUUUAUUUUUGAAAUUUUUUUCAACGGUUUAAAAAUUUUUUAAGUUAAGAUUUUGGGCUAAAUAUUUUAAUUUAGUCGCAAAUCUAAUAUGAGGCAAAAGCUAUGUACCAUUGAUUAAAAUGUUGAUCAAACAAUCGUGAUUUGAAAAAAAAAAUUUAAUUCUAUUGCCCCAAACAAAAUUUGCGGCUAUUUGAAAUUUUUUUUGAGAAGCCACAGAUCCCAUGUGCGGCAAAGCUUUGGACAACAUGACUUGAUGGCAUUAUUUUUCUUCGCUGCAAAUUAUUUUUUUUAAAUAUAGCAGGUGAUCAACGGUCAUGAUUUGAUGGGCAAUUUUUUUUCCUUUGUCGCAAAUUUAAUUUGCGAUGAUAUAUUUUUUUAAAUGUCGCAGCUCUUGAUCAUUGAUCAUGGUGAUCAACGGUCAUGAUUUGAUGGGCAAUAUUUGUUUCUUAUUACUUGCAAGACAUAGAGGGGACUAGUCAUUUGGGGCAACCCCGCACUUACUUGUUUAUACUCCUGGCUGUAUAAAGCUUCGUACCCGAUCACAAACUGCACUGUUGACCUAUAUAUACUUCUACAGGUAUAAAUGGAACAACUUUGGGAUGUUUGAGCAUCCUUAUUUCAUUUGAAUGCAUAAUUAAUAUGACGUUCACAAUGCUUAUAUUUUUAACAGUUAUGAGCGUGGGAAAUGAUGCCCCAGGAUUCGCCUGACUAUGGUGGUUCCAGCUGCAUAGGGAAAUGAUUUUCCCAGAGGCGGCCGUUGGGCAAGUGACUGUACGAUAAAAUAUUAGGGUUUUAGUGUUAGGAUUUAGGAAUUAAUGUUUUAGGGUUAGGGUUAAUGGGCAAAAUCGUUGUGAUUUCAUUUUUUAAAUAAAAAAAUUUAAAGCUUCGUCACACAUUUGAGGUGCAGCGAACCCUUUAACAAAAAUAAUUUUGCUUUGGCACACCUUUUUAAAAUAAAUAUAUAUAUAUAUCGCUUCAUUUACUUUCUAGGGAGGAAAAAAAAUGAAAUUUAAAUCAAUUUUUUUUUUUCUGAUAACCUCCUUUACCAUUUGUAACGACCCUUAAAUUAGAACUCAAUCCCAAACUACCCCACUUUUGUGAUAUUUUCUGCUUUUAACAUUAUUCUUAGAAAUUCGCCCCUAAAUUUGAACAAUCUCAACACAAAGUUAUGACAGAUUCCCCAAAAUGCCCAUCAAAGCUCUUCCUCGUCUUCUUCCCCUUUCCCUGCUCCCUAGCAAACAACACCAAUACCACGAGGUUCACGACUAAUAGCAAAGAUUUCAGCACUAUUUUUUUUUGUGGGGGGGGGGGGGGGCAAAGAAGCACAAAAGCUGCAAGUAUUGGUUUUAAGCUUCAAAGUUUUAAUCUUUCAUGGAACUUAAGAUAACGAAAACACUAAUAAUUAACCCCACAAAACAAGUUGAAUGUACAUGAGCUUUUAUUCUAAUGUUUAGGUGAUAAUUUUAAUGAAAUUCUACCAAAUUUGGAUAGAGUUUUGAACAAAUAAAAAGUAGGGGAAAAAACCGAGUGGAAAGAAAGAAAAGCCAUUGAAAAAGAUGAUGACCAGUCACUUUGUUAGCUUUUUUCAAAUUUUUUUUAUCAUUUUCUUUCACGUUUUUCCUUUUCAUUUUCUUGGUAUUAAAUAGUUUGUUUAUAGUCCUGUUUUCUUUCUCCAAUGCUUGUUUCAAGACGUUCAAUUUUCCAUUGGUUUUAACAUUUAUUUUUUGUUUUUAUUUUUCUCAAUUAGUUUUACUCCAUUUAUCUUUCUUACUAAUUUUGGAGUUUUGUCUCAUUCCUUUACUUAAUUUUCAUUUUUUGUUCUAUAAAUGCUCUUUUAUUGAGUUUUUCAUUUUAUUUGUGGAAUCUUCUGAACUAUGCCUUUUUGUCAUUUCUCAAUACACACUAACGGAGUUAAACAACAGUCAAUGACAAAGGGGUGAUUGUAAUUUGGCUAAAUCAUAAGGCUUGUUACGUAAUAUGGACAAACCUCUGGGGAGGUAGAUGUAAUAGGCAGCAAAACACAAUAAAUUAAUUUUUUUCCCCCAAACUGGAUGACACACAAAAAUGCCAGUAUUAGUAUCACGUCGCAUUAUAAAUAUCACUUACUUUCCCUUAUUUUAAAACUUUUGUAACAUUGUUUAUUAACCCAACUCAGAAUAUUAAUACUGAAAAACUAUUUUUGUUUGGAAGUGUAUAGAUAAUUUUUGUUUCAAAAUUGCCCUUUUGUUGUGUUAAUGCUCAUGGCAAAUCAAUUUAAAAUCCUCAACAUUUGAAAAUUUACCUAUUUACUUCCUUAGUGGAAAAUUAUAAGUUUUUAUUGAGGUUAGGAGAUUGUUUAACGAACUUUUAUUUUAUAAUUUGGACAAGAUAAAUUAAAAUUUUUGCAACUUAUGAAUAAUUUACAAAACACGUAAAAAUCAUUCAUUAAUUUUUUUUGGGCACAUCUUGAGAGCAUUUUCAUACAUACUGUUUUAGUCAGGCGACUUUCUCGAAAUAAUGCGAAAAAGAGAAAAUAUCACAAAAGUGAUGCUGAGCUCGCUUCUAUAUUAAAGGUUGCUGCAAAUGUCAGACAAGGCUUCACAGAAAAUUUGAUUAAAAUUUUUUUUUUAAAAGUCAGAACCAAUUUUUUUUUUUUUUCAUUUUCACAAAAAGUUUCGCCACAAAUGGAGAAUGAGGCCGAGAAAAAAAAUAUUUUUUUUUGGAAAAAAUAUUUUUUAAAUUUUUUUUUUGGAGAAACCGCAAAUUGCAUUUGCGGCAAAGGAGAAGCCAAGACGUGGGGCACGGACGGUUGCAGGUGCAACCGUCCCUGCCAAUUGUAGUCAUUAUCAACUGGCCGUAACUCUCUUUGUACAUGGUGUAACUUUUUUCUCACAGGAUGUAUUUUCACAACAGAUAGUGACGGGUCCCACACAUGAUGCGGAAAUCGAGUUACGUCUUGUUAUCUCCCUGCCCCAUUUCCGAGAAGCCACCAUUUGUGUCCAUUUGUCUUAUCAGCAGUUGUAGUUUUCCCAUGCUCUGGUUGCAUUCGACAUGAAAAUAAUUAUAUAAAUAUUCAUGUAUUACUUCCCAUGAUGCUGUUCAUGACAUGUUAAAUUUAAGCAGAAGCGUCUGAGUCCUCUGCUAGUUGGAAUUAUUACUUUUUUGCUGGAAUUGAUCAUUUUGUACGAGAUAAAGUGGUGGCAUCUAGCCUUAUAAUAGAGGAUUUUGCAGCUGAUGUUCUUUCGUUACACCAUAAUUGCUGACCUCAUACAGUUGCAAAACCUAUGUAAAAUGUAUCUCGAUCCCUGCGUAGUGUGCUCAUCUUGGAUUGAUGGUAAUAUAAAAAAAAAAAAAAAAGGCUUUUGGGAUAUUACAAUCCUUGAAUUAAAGAAUGCGGAGGAUAGUUAGCUUAUUCGACCGUCAAGAUAUUGGCCUAUCUAACUCUUGUAUUGUCCCUUUCGAGAUGUCUGUUGAGUAUUUAGCUAAGCAGAUGCGGGAUAGAAAACAUGAAGGUAAGUGUCGCAGAGGGGCAUAUCCAUACAUGUUGUUCAUGUACUCGACAUAUUUAAUUUUCAAUAUGUCUUGCUGGCAUUAAAACCAAAAAAUUCAAAAAUGGAUGAUUUGGGCAUAUUUAAUCUUCAAUUCAUUUUAUAUUUUCAACCAAAAGGAAGCUGAAAGCAUUUGUAUAGGAUGAUUAAUCACCAUUUAUGAAAUUAACACAAUUUUUGUAGUUAAAUUAAAGGGAUAAUUUCACAAACCUCCCCUGAGGUAUUUAAUAAUUACAGGGAGCUCUCCUCAAAUUUUAAAAAUUACAUGUACCUCCCCGACUUUUACUGUUUAUAUAACAAUAUAGGUCCAACAAGGAAGAUUUUCUCUUAAAAAUCCUAAAUUACCCUUUUGUACAAAACUAAGAAAGCAAAAUAUAAUAUGUUUAAUCAUUUUCUUCCAUAUUUUGCACAAAUCAACAAGCCUAAUUCCUAACAACCAUCCAAGUAUAAGUUUCAAAUCCAAAUAACCAUAAAAAAGAUUCUAAGUUGCAUAUAUAACAUCAACUUACUACGUAAAAAAAAAAACACUCAUACACACACACACACACCUCCCAUUAUCUCAAUGCUCAAAUACAUUUUCAAUACAAGCUAAUAUGAUCUAGAACCACCAUUACAACCUUCUUAUGGUCUUAAAAAUAUUAAUAUUGUAAAAGUAAAGAAUAAAUUCUACCUCGACAAUAAAAUCAUAACAAAAAUUUCCAAUCCAAUGAAAGAAAUCCUUAUGUAAUUAUUAAUAUUUUAUAAAAGUUUUUUAUGACAACAAACAAACUAUGACAAAUUUCACAUCUCUAGUUCUUCUUCCUAUUUCAAUCAUAAAUUUCAUUAUUUAUUUCUCUAUCAUUGCAAAAAUAGACAAGACAGAAAUUUUUUUUUUUUUGGAUUUUGUAAAUCUAGUGCCUUAAAUUUAGAAUUGUCUAGCAAGUGGAGGGUAGUAUAGGCAUUUUAUUACGUCAAGGAAGUUAAGUGUAAUUUCUUAAACUUAAGGGGAGCCGAGUGAAAUUGUAAGAAACCUCAAGGGAGGUUUCUGAAAUUAUUCCUAAAUUAAAUUUGCAGCUUUUAGGGUUAGGAUUUAUGUAUUAGGGUUUUAUUGUGAGCGUUUAGGGAUUAUUGUUUUAGGGUUGGGGUUUGCAGGCAAAAUUAUCGCAAUUCCAUAUUAAAAAAAAAAAGAUUUGCCACCCAUUUGAGGUGCGGCAAAUCCUUUAAAAAAAAUUAUUUGAUUCACCGCCCUUUUGAGGUAUGGCAAAACCUUGUAAAGUAUAUUUUAAAAAAAUCCAGUCCUUUUACUUCCUUGGCGACGAAAAAAAUGAAAUUGAAAUCAAUUUUUUUUGAAACCUACUUUUCCAUUUGCAGCGAACCUUAAAAUCAAAAUCAAUCAUACUUUUGUGAUAUUUUCUUAUUUUAAAAUUAUUCUAAGAAAUUCGCCGGCAUGAGCCGGAUCAAUAGCUUUUAGUCCAGGACACUCAAGAAGUGAAAGACCUGCCAGAAAACAAAAGUUUCCGAGACUAAAUCACCAGAAAAUGAACCAUAAAAAAGAAAGAGAGAUAGAUCAGCUAAUACUGCCAAUAGGAGAAAAUUGGUACUAACGCUUAGCUGUAAGAUGUGGGCGCCAAGCCAUUAGAUGUGCGGUCAUUAGCCAAACAGUAAGGUACGAACGGCCGCGAUCUUUUGCCACACAUUACAUGUGCGGCUUCUGAAAAUAUUGUGGGACCAUCAUGGACCGUUUGCCUCAAAGUUUUUAUUUUUAUUUUUUUGGAAACGACAACGAUUGUAUAACCUAAUUUAUUCUAUACUAAAGGGGAGGAGGCGAACCUAAGGAGGCCUAAGGAUAAUUCGGAGGGGACUGAAUCACCACCGGAUCAAACAGGUGUACAACACACCGGCCUGAAUUUUUUUGAAGCAAACACUUAAAUGUGACAUUUUUGGUGGAAUCUCACCAAGUUAGGUGGUGGCCACCCGCCCAAAGGCUAGAGGUGCCUCAAAGUUUUUAGAAACAAAACUUUUUACCUUCGCCGCAACCCCGUUUGGAUUGCGAUUUUUCUCAGAAAAAUGUGUUCACGUUCUCAGAAAAAUUGUUAUGUUUUCCGUGAACACAUUUUUCUAUCACCUUUUUAACUUACAUCUAUCAAAUCACUAUAACAAUUUUUCUAUAAAAAAUCCAGAAAAACGCAAUCCAACCUGAAAUUUUUUUUAAAUUUUCAUCCUCCGCUGCAAAUUACUUUUGCAGCAAAUCAACAAAAUAAAUUGGUUCCAACUUAAAACAAAAAAUAAAGAAAUUUAAAUCAAAUUUUUUAUUAAACCUCAUAUGAUAUUUGCAGCAACCCUUGACCUGAAAGCCAACCUUCAACAGCAUCACUUUUGUGAUGUUUUCUUGUUUUCGCAUUAUUCUGAGAAAUUACCCCUAAGUUAAAAAUACAAUUUUAAACACUUUUUUUUUUAAAUUUCAAGCCAUCCAUGUGGAUAAAAAUGAAAAUGCUAAAUAAUUAUAUAAAAUUUCUUAAAUUCACUCAAAAACACUUACAUAAAAAGAAAGAUUUCUUUAUUUGGUAACCUAAAAGGCACCUAAUUAGCACAUCAAGAAAAUUAAGAUGGACCAACGUUAAAGUUUUAAACUCAUAAUUAGAGGUGUCAAAAUGGGUGACUUGGACGGGUUUGAGUUGGGUAAAAUGGAUAAUGGGUAUAAGACUAUAAGUGAGUCAACUCAUUUAUACCCAUUUAAUUAGAUGGGUAUAAAUGGGUAAGUUAAAAAAUGAAUUUGGUAAUCCAAUUACCCAUUUAUAACCUAUUUAUUUUAACUUUUUGUAAUCUAUGACUCAUAAUCAACCACCCUAAAUUACUAACACUUUAGCACAGGAAAUGUAUCCUUCCACCAAAAUAAUCCACCCCCUAUUACAGCAUCAAAUACAGAUUCAGGCUGAUACUUUCUAGCCCUAAAUCCAUCCUUUAGAAAAUCAACAAAAGAAUAACAGAAAAAUAUACAUCAAAUAUGUAUGUAUCAGUCGAAACUGUGUGAUACUGCAUAAUGUGAAAGAGGUAGGUGGUCAAUAUUAGUCAAAAAAUGAAUUCAACUUCGAGAAGAAAUUUCUUUGUUUAUGGAUUCUUGGUUAAAGAGCAGCAAAAGAUUAAAACUAUAAUUGAAUUGCAUCUGAGUUUGCUCGAGUCCAGGAAGCACUUCUUCCACAUCUUACCCAAGAAUGCUUAUCAGCCAUGCAUGCAACAAAUAUCUUCAAUAUCCACUCAAAGUUAAGCCCACCAAUAUUUUUCCAUUCAUAGUUUCUUUCUAGGUAGGCUCAAAGUGUACAGAGGUACAAACAACGAAGUUCAUUGCGGCUAAAACAUUCAGGUGAAUGGCUCAGCCGGCGCGGCUGUGCCUGAGGAGUUCAAAUUCUCCUUCAUGGUUCUUUUACAGCCAUUUCUUGAAACUUCCCACCCUUUCCAAACGGUAUUGCAGAAGGGACUAUGCAACUCCGGUAAUGCUAAAAAACCCACAAAAAUUGACGGGCAACUCGACCAUCUUUGGCUUAGAGUUGGGAAAGGGUGUCCAUAGACGUAAUCUUGAAUUAAGAAGCUUGGGUAAUCAAGGUAAAGUAAGUGAAGCCAGGAAGAUGUUCGAUGAAAUGCCGCAAAGAGAUGUCGUUUCUUAUGCUUCCAUGAUUACGAUUUAUCUUAAACAAAAUGAUCUUCCUAGAGCUGAAAGUUUGUAUAGUGCAAUGCCCGAGAGAAAUAUUGUAGCUGAUUCGGCAAUGGUGCACGCCUAUGCUAAGGUUGGUCAGCUGGAUCUUGCGCGGAAAAUAUUUGAUCGUAUGCCUUGUAGAAGUGUGUUUUCUUGGACUGGUUUGAUUUCUGGGUAUUUUAAACAUGGAAGGGUGGAUGAGGCUUGUGAACUCUUUCGACAAAUGCCUGAGAAAAACGUGGUUUCGUGGACUACAAUGUUGGUGGGUUUUGCUAGAAAUGGCUUGAUUGAUCAGGCGCAGGAAACUUUUGAUCAAAUGCCUGUCAAAAAUGUGGUUUCUUGGACAGCUAUGAUCAGGGCUUAUGUGGAGAGUGGUCAAGUUGAUCAGGCCUUUCAGCUUUUCUAUCAAAUGCCUGAACGUAAUCUCUAUUCCUGGAAUAUAAUGAUCCACGCCUGCUUGGAUUAUGACUUGGUGAAUGAGGCUGUGCGGCUGUUUAAUUCCAUGCCAUGGACGAAUGCAGUUUCUUGGACCACAAUGGUUACUGGUCUUGCACAGAAAGGAUUUAUUGAUUUGGCUCGGAAGUAUUUUGAUCAAAUGCCAAGCAAGGAUAUAAUUGCUUGGAAUGCUAUGGUAUCAGCCUAUGCUGAUCAUGGCAUCAUGUCUGAGGCUAGUAAGCUUUUCAGUUUGAUGCCAAAUCACAACGUGGUGACAUGGAAUGCCAUGAUUGAUGGGUAUGCCAAAAAUGGGCGUCAAGAUGAAGCUCUCAAGCACUUUGUUCUCAUGCUACGAAGCUCCAGUGGUGCUAACACAAUUACCCUCACUAGUGUAGUGAUUGCAUGUGAGGGAAUUGUUGAGCUGUUGCAAGCUCAUGGUCUUCUUGUCAAGCUAGGUCUUGAGCAAGCGACCUCAUUGACCAAUGCUCUUGUUACCAUGUACUCUAGGAGUGGAGAUCUUAGCUCAGCACGACUUGUCUUUGAGAAUCUUGAAGCGAAAGACAUUUUGUCAUGGACAGCGAUGAUUCUGGCGUACUCUAAUCAUGGUUAUGGUAACCAAGCAUUACAGAUAUUUGCUCAGAUGUUGCGAUCAGGCAAUAAACCAGACGAGGUUACGUUUGUGGGAGUCUUGACGGCCUGUAGUCAUGCAGGUCUUGUCAAGAAAGGCCAAAGGCUUUUUGACUCCAUGAGGUCUGCAUAUAAUAUCAUUCCCAAUAAAGAGCAUUACUGUUGUCUUGUUGACAUCCUUGGUCGAGCGGGGCUAGUCAAUGAGGCUGUCAAGGUGGUUUGCCAAAUGCCUCCAGGUGAAUGUGAUGUUGCUGUUUUAGGAGCACUACUUGGCUCGUGCAAGUUAUAUGGGGAGGUCGCCCUGGCAAAGCUUUUGGGUGAGAAAUUAUUAGAGCUGGAGCCAUCUAGUUCAGGAAGUUAUGUGCUUCUAUCUAACUUGUAUGCUGCUUGCGGUUUGUGGGACAAUUUUGCUCAUAUAAGAAAGAGGAUGAAGGAGAGUAGAGUGAAUAAAGUACCUGGUUUUAGUCAAGUAGAAGUAAAGGGUGAGAAUCAUGUGUUUUACGCAGGGGACAGAUCUCAUAAGGAAAUGGAGCAGAUUUAUGCUGCACUGAAGGAGAAGCUUCUACCGGUGAUGCAAGAUAAAUAUUGCAUGUACGAAGCUGUAGCAGUAUAGAUUGACAUGGAAUUACAUUUAGAGCUUGUGCUACGGUGUGGUGAUGCAAUUUUUGAUUGCUGGGAUAUGCUUUCCACUAAAUUGAUGCACAGUGCUGCAACAGGUGAAAUGUGAUAACUAACUAAAUUUGGUUUGUUUUGAGGUAUUACAUUUGUACACUUUGUAUCACACAGACACACAAACACACACAAAGGCAUGUACACCUAAGUGUACACGUAGAUACUCCUAUUUGCCUCUGACUAUAGCUGUGAACUAACUGAUCUUUUGCAUUAUCCUGAAGUACGCUACAAAAGCAUGUCUGAGAUACCACACUGAACCAGGAAGAUUAGGGGAAAGUAUGACCCCAACGUUAUUCUAUCUUUGAAUGUUGACGUUCUCUAGUUUGUAAUCCUUUCAUUUGUUCUGCUGACAAUAAAACAGAAAAUGAAGAAUUUCUUCCCAUAAAGCUUUGAAAUCCUAUUUUACUAAUUUGCGUCAAAAUUGAACGUGGACUAAACCUUGCAUAUAAGUCAAGAUGGGCUCAGUGGUGCAGCAUUAAUUUCUCAAUUGAGUUUUCACAUUCAGCUCAGUAGUAAGAUAGGACCUUUCAAUUUUCAAGAGUUUGUUUCCAGUGAGGAAUUGUAUCUAAACAUUUAUCAUAAUGUUGAUGAUUAACCAUGUCCAUUUGACUGUCUAAAAUAACUCAAAAGGUCAUAGAGUCUUUCCUAACUGUCUUUUGAUGUAUUGAUAUUCCCGAUUCCGUAGCUGAAUUGGUGGAAAUGCUGCUGAAAAGCACGGAGUUCCAAGGGUAUGCAUUUGACGGGGCCAAGGUGAAGAAGAGAGAAAAGGAGACCGGUAAUUUAGAGAAGAGAUGCUGCCUAUAUUUUGGACUUCCAAAUAGAUCAAGUUUCCUAUUGCUUAACUUUGUGCAGCUAAAUUGAGCCCUCGUGAAACAAAUCAAUAUCAGAUAGGCUUCCCAAUUGUUCCAGCAGAAAGAAAAGCUUAGGACUUUGCUUUGCAUAAGAGAUUCUCAAAGCUGAAGAUUCUUACUUAUCUAACCAAGACUAUCAAACAGGGUUCCAUAACAAAGCAAAAAUAGGAGGCCUGGCAAUGGUAAUGCAGGUAAUGCAAAUGGAAAAGUAAUGGCCGGGUAAUGCUGGCAUUUUAUGAAUUUUAUUCUAACUUGUUGAUCCUAAUAUUUCAUUUGUAAUAUCAGGUUUAUUUGAUGACUGAAAUGCCCUAUACUUGUACAGAUUUCUGCAGGCUUCCUAACAGGGAGAAAAGGGUCAAAAGGUUCUUUGAUCAAAACAAGGUCCAUACCUUUCCUAUGUUGGAAGUUACAGGUCCGAUUCAAACUCUCCUAGAUACCUUGUUGGUCUUCAUCAGAUAGAUGACACUUAAUUGGCAUCUAUCCUGAGAAGCUUCUUGCAUUCCAUGUUCACAAGUGUUACUUUCAAAUGAACUAACUAACUCAGUAGCUGCUUCUGUUGUUCUUUAUUGUGAGUAUUCCCCGGAUACCCGGUUCAUUGUUUCUUUUUUUGAGGCACAUUUUCUUUGUAAACAUGACAAUACAAAAGACUGAAAUAAGAGAAAGUCGAUAUAGCGCAGAUGGAUUUACCGAACAAUUUAAUACCAUUUAAGAGCAAGUUCAGUACAGAAUCAUUUUUCUGCUGGUGAUCCAGUUCUAAGAAAAAAUUUUGAUCUUGAGAAAAUACUUUAUUGUCUGUUUUGGUUCAUAAAGUAGCAUUUCUUUUUCAGUUAACUUUCAUCAGUCGACCAUUGACCAAUAAUGCUCAUUUGUAUUAUGCAAGACAAUACAAAUCAUAAUUUUAAACAGUACUUUUAUGGUCUGUAUUAGUACUCUAGCAAGUCCUUUUUUUUUUCCGCAAUUAGCUGUUAGUGGUGCCCCUAAUCAACCAGUAAAUGUUCAUUCGGAUAGAAUAACAUGAUAAAAAUCAGUACAUUAAGAUAAGGCAACGUUUUUGUUGAUACAAAACAUAGAAAGUUCAGUAAGUAAAAUUAUUUUGACAUAAACUACAAUUGAGAGGAGUUUUACACUCACUUUAACUGACAGAAAGCAUGCGCAAAUUUUGCUAAAAGAGUGUUAGAUUCGUCUGUUUUCUUCUUCCAAUUUCAAGGGCAUUACGAUUUAUACAUUUGCAUACAUUCAACAUCUCGUAAACAAAUUCAGGAAGACAUUUAAAAAUGAAAGUUCGCAAAUGAGGAACUAGUGGAUGUCUAUAGAUAACCUGCAUUUUUCCAAAUUGAAGAAUCAAUAGACAUUAUUAUUAGUCGAGUAUCAUUGCUUUUUUUGAAGUACCAAUACCCAGUUUUGUCCUCUGUAAUCCGCAAAGCUUAAAUUAAUAACAACGAAAAAUGUAAUUUUAGAAAAUGAACAGUUCCCAUUAAAUGGCAAGCAUUGCUGAUUCCAAAUGAACAGCAGCUAUCUUUGCAAUGUCUUCAACCACGAACAGAAGAAAUCAAUGUUCUACACUUCAAAACCUCCCCAGCAUGACGACGUAACCCAACUUUGCAUCUGCAAUGACAAUAAUGUGCUUCUGCUACAUGCACUCACAAAAUAGUCUCACAACGAGAAUUCUUUUGGACCAUAAACCCAUCUCCUCAAAGAGCCAUCCAAGAUGUGAAACAAGAGCGAGCAACCCAUACGACAAAGGAAAAACAUUCAAGAGAAUGAAUUUAAAAUGUCAGUUACCCGGAAUUCACUGAUUCACAAAAACAGAACAAAGAGCUUGGACAUUCAUAGCGCGGGAUAUAUCCUCCAAAGUUAAAAAAGAUUAAAACCAAUGAUACACAAAAACCUUUCAAGUUGUCUUUGCUUUCUACAUCCAGGAUCUGUGAAUAUGCAAUAUUCUUUCAAAUCUUUCUUACCCUCCAUGGAUUUGCAAUCAGUGUGGAAACCAAUAUAGGCAUACACGGGUGACUGGAUUGCCUGCCUCAACCUGAAUGCAGAGACUACACAGAUGCCUCGGACACCUUACCUUGGGAAGGAUAUAAAUCGAGGACAGAAACCCAUAAAGGAGUUUCCAGUCUCACAAUCUCAGCUGCAUACACGACAUACCUAUCCCCAAAGUAUGCAGUAAACUCAACAACAAUCAGAAAAGAUACCCGUAAAUUCCUGUGAGCAGCAGACAGUAUUGAAUGAGAUUAUCAUGCUUUUACACCAUCCAACCGCCCAAAGGAUUAAAAAGACCCCACACCAACACACUUAAAACGAAGGAUUAAGAAGAGAAAAUUUUUCAUACCUAGCCAAUAAUGCAUUGUUACUUAAUUAGAUUAUUAUCUUAUUAUACCUUCAGCAAUUUUCGAUAUGCACAAAUAAUGCAAGGAUGUCGUCAUUCAAUGAUCUUCACGUACACAAACAAAAAGCAAAAUGAUCCAUCAAUCAGAAAGGCUAACACAUCAGCUUACCUGCAAUUGCAUACAAUUUGAACACCAAUAUGCUUACAAAAAUUUUAUCAAAUCAUGGAAAAUAUCAGUUGCUUGAGAGCUUAGCAAAGUUAACAAGUUCUACCCUUGACCAACCUAGUCUCCUCUCUAGACAUUCUUCUUCGUAGUACUUCACUAAUAAGAUAGCCAGCGACACCUAUUGCUAGGUUCUGUGAUGGCCUGGGCUGUACUAUCAACCAGUGGUUAUCUUCUCUCUUUCAGUGUGUUAGCAUAACAGAAGCUCUGCACAUUCUGAGGUCCUGCCAAGGCACAGUUCUCUCCCUUGUGGUGGUACGCAAGAGAAACAGAAGAACUGGACUUCGAGCAGCCAGUGACACCUCCAGAUUGCACGUAAUACAAAAUUCAAUAUAGGGCUGAUAUCUCAAACAGUAUUUCCUUCGGCCCAGAGACGAGUAGAGCUCCAAAACAAGCAAUAAAAGACAAGCUCACAGGAUACAAGUGAGGAUCGUCUCCAGAUUUCUAAUAAUACUAUAGAAAUAGUCCAUCAUUGAAUCAUUCCCCAGGAACUAAACAUACCUAGAUAGCAUGAGCAGCAGUCAGUAACAAUAAAUCACAAAAUACUGCCAACUUGUAUAUUACAUGUAAAAAUUUGGAUACAACAGCCAAAAUGUAACAUUUGCUUCAAUUCAUUCCAAAUAUACAAGAUUUUCUUUGAAAUUGAACUAUAUACCAAAGGCACUUCGCAGACAUUCUCAGUUUUGUAAGACGUAAUAAACUGACACAACACAGUAACUACCUCAAACGAUAUGACUAGGAAUGGAAAUUCAGCAUUUCAUCAGCCAUUUCAAAGCUUCUAGAGUAUUACAAGAUUAACAUUCUCAAGAAAGUCAAGAGUAAAUUCAGUGGUCCAACACUACUGAGAACAUGAUCUACAAGGAUCUCAAACCAAACUGCCAAUCAUUUUACACUGAGAAGGAUCACGGAGUUAGUAGAUCUUCACGGAACAAUUACAUGUCAAAAGAUUAAGCGCAAAAGCACAUAAUGAUGCUUUGAUUAACAAGAGCUUUGUUGUCUUCAGAUUUCACACAAAUUACUUUUUCCUACUACAUUACCUAACCAUUGCUUUUGCUGUAUCGAACAACACAGCAUGCAGAGCGCAUGGAGAAUUUAAAUGAACUCUCACCAUCAAUGGACAAAAAACAGCAGUUAACAAAAAAAAUCUUGACAAAAGAACUCGUACAUCUAAUUGCAGUACCUGAAAUCCUGCCUAAUCAAACCAAGACCCAACAUUUGGCAGACUACUUUCCAAAUGGUGAAAACAGAAAGCUAAUCCCAGAAAGCUAAUCCUAGUUUCCAUCUGAUCAGCCAGAACCAGCAUCUAAACGUAUACUGCCGCUUUGCCGCCCAUGAAAAUUUCCCCUGCCACGCUUUGACUGACCCAGUCCUCUGUCCUUGUAUCUUUGGCCCGCAUUAUGAUAUUCAUCUUCUGGUUUUUCAGGUUUACUAUUGUUAUAUGACCCCACAGGAUGGUACUCAUAGUGGUGGAUGUUAUGCCUCUGCCUAUCAUUAUUCCAAUCCCCACGAGGUUCACGGCUUGUUCCAGGAUAAUUAUUUUGAGUUCGACCCCUCUUGAUAUCAGAAGAUAAAUGCUGCUUAUUUUGAGGAUCAGCAUUAAUAGUAUAUCUUGAUUCAUCAGCACCAUUUGUGCCUCCAUUAGGGGAGUGAGAAUGUCCUUUAGAUGUGGGCAUUCUCCUUUCUUUCCUGUGUCCUUGAUGCCCUACAUUUUCAGAAGUUUGAUCCAGCAGAGAAUCUUUUUCACUGCUCUCCUUGACAUUAGGCGGAACAUGGGAACUAGGCAGUGAAGGAUAAUCCUUUUUGACAUCAUCUUUUUCCACAGUAACAGCCUGACCUAAGAUAGACCUAUUUCCACGCUGGCUGUUAUUUGAAGAUGAAUUAGAUUUGGGUUGCCAAUGAGACGAUGACCGUUCCUCAAAGCCUCGACUCUCUUUUGAUAGAUUGACCUUCUCAGCAUGUUUUAUGUCAGGACCCAAAAAUAGGAUACGACUCCCAUCAGCUUCCCCACUAAUUUGAUUCUUCUCAUUGUCAUGAUUAAAUCCCAUGCUUUUGUCAGCCUUCAAUGAGUGCUUCUUUCCUUUGCCUGUUACUCCCUGAUCUUUCGCAACAGGUGAAAGAGCAGGAGCUGCUACAUUAGAAUAAGUGGACACAUUCUGGCCAUCAGAAGCACUAGAAUCCCUGGAUACAUUCCCUUCCACUUUGGCAGAAUUUAGAUUGGGCUUCACAGAUUGGUUUUGGCGGACUGAUGUCCGAGUACUCUUGCUUGAGUUGGAUGAGGAAGUUGGAGAUGCAUUCUGCGGUGCUUCUGUUGAACCCCGUUGACGCCAUGCUCCAUGUGCUUUGACUUGUUUAUUAAGCCUGGAAUCAACUUCCCUACACUCUGCAGUUGAUGCAACAUUGCAGGUUGCUGAACUACCUGGAUGAAGACUUCCGGAGCUUGCUAACCCACUUUCAAUUCUCUCAGAAAACUCAUCAGAUGUUGACAUCUCAGUUGAAUAUGAAACUGGCUGCUGGACACUAUUCUGCUGAGCUAAUUCUUUGGCAACUGGCUUGGGUACAUAUCUCUCCAUUUCCGCCCUUUUGCUUUUAAUGUUACUCUGUACUUGAUUAUCACAUUUUGCUGAAAUACCACAUUCCUGUGCAUUUUGUUGGCUCAUUUCACUUGCAGGCUCUGCUUUACUUUGUGACUUCACAGGUGCCCAAAUAACAACAUCAUUGCCAUGAGAUUUAUCCGUAAACCUGUUAGAUUGUUGGUUUCUUGCAAACCUGCGAGAGUGCUGAGGUUUUCUGUGGUUGCUUAGUCUACCAUAAGCCUCAUCACCUUGUAAAGAAGAAUGCUGCUUGGAGGACUCCGCUCCAUCAACAGUAGUGAUCACCUCCUGAACUACACUACUAUCCAGAUCUGAUUGAGAAGCCUUAAAGUCCUCCUUUUCAGUGUAAGCUUCAACAGGGUUACUUUCGUUUGGUGCUGUUGAUGGUAAAAUAGGCAUAGAUGGUGCAUCAUCCAGUUUGUGCUUUUUGCCACUCCUGUUGCCUUUCCUUCUCUGUUGUGCAGAGGACUCGCUAACAAUGUUAGGGUUUCUUGGGAAGUUUGAUUCACCACUAUACAAAGUAUCAUCUUGAGAAACCACAUUGACUUCAUUGGAAGUUAUACCAGUCUCAUUUUUAGGGCCCUCAGCAGCACUGAUUGCCUCUGACUGUUGGCUAAUUUUCUUUUCUUGCGUAGCAUUCUGCUUUGGCUUAAAGCUGUUUCGUUUAUGUCUAGAGGCACCACCUUCAUUCAUUUGGGCAGAAGUUUUACGAUCAUUGGCAUCAGCAGAAUGGGCUUCCUGUUUCAAAGGCAAGGACUGACCAUCCAAAACAACAGGCUCAAUGGGGACAGCUUUGGGUAAAUUGCUGCUUGAAGUUGCAGAUUCAUCACCACUUGGGACAGUGCUCAGACUAGACUGAGUAACACCACCAGAGACUGAAGAAAUAACCUUUGUCACAGCUUGAGAUUUAGCAUCAUCCAGGCUCGAUCCAGAGUAUGUUUGCUGUUCUUGUAGCUCUGGCUGGCACAUACCAACCAGAGCUUUUUCAUUCUUCAAAGGCUUUCCUCCCUGUGUACGCCGAUUCAGCUCCUCCAGUUUAGCAAAAGCCUUUGCCUUCUGUUCUCUAAUUCGCUCUUCCUCUUCCUUCUGUAGCUGUAAGGCCCGUUGCUUCGCCAAUUCUCUCAUUUUGGCACGCUAACAAAGUUUCACAAGUAACACGUCAAACAACUAGAUAACAGACAUCAAAACAUAACACUUCUAAUAAGACCAAAUACUACAUAAUGAAUAACCUGUGCCUGGCUAUCAGUUGAGUCAAAUAUUUCAGUUGCCAUUUCUCCUUCGUUCUUCCCUGUAGGAUCCUCAACAGCUGCCACUACAGGUUGGACUUUAGUUUCAUGGACAUCAAUAGAUAUGAUAUCAGCGGCUGGGAUACUAGCAGGCUCAGCAGCUGGGAUACUAGCAGGCUCAGCAGCUACAGGUUUCUUUUGCCAGCCACCACCAUCCAAACUGCGAAACCUUCCUUUGCCAUUAUCACUACCUUUACCAUGCAUAUGAUCAUAUGCUCUCCUGCAAAAAUUGGAAAUGAGAUGUUUAGCAAUAAAGGGGAAGAAAGAGAAAGACAGUAAAAAGAGAAGCCUUCUUCACAAACCUAGGAGCAAAUGCUGGGUGAGAGCUUCUAUCCCCAACAGAAGGAAGCAUUUCAUGGGAUCCAGGUCCCAUAAUACCAGCUUUGAUCAUGUCAUUACCCUUAGGGUUAACAGCUUGGGACGAGUUCUGUGGACCAUCAUAACGUCCAUCAGAGGCACGAACUUUCACAUUCAAGCCUUCAAUUUUCUGCAUUAAAGUUGAAUCUCUUGCAGUAGCUGUUACAGUUAAACCUCUUUCUGUGCCUGGAGACGGUUGUGACAUUCCUGGAGAGGGUGCAGCAGUCACAGAUUGGUGUUUCUGAUUAUUAUCAACCACAGCACUGCACACAUUCUCAAAUGACUGGACCUUGAACGUGUCAGGAUCAUGAGCCCCUUGAUCCUUUACUUUGUGUGAACAUGAGUUUUCACCUUCUGUUCUCAUUGCACACAUCUCUUCUUCACUAUCAGGCUCAGGCUCAGCACCCCACUCCCUUCGCAAUGACACACCAGACAGGACUCCUUUCUUAGGAUGUGAGGAAUUAUCGAAUGUUGGCCUGCGUUCCAAAUUCUCACCAUCCCCCUUCCCAUUCCCUUCAUCAUGUUGCUUUAAAAGAACUUUAUAUUGCCCAGAGGCAUCACCAGAAUGAGCUGUUUCUACGUGCUCUGACAACAUUUUGCCAGCAGGACCAGUCCUACCAGCUCUGGCACGAGAAUGGCCAGGAUCAGGAGCACUUGGAGUUGAAUGUCUAUUAUAAGCAGAUGGGCCACCCAUGCCCUUAAAUGGUACUUCCCGUUCAUUGGAAUUGCAAUAACCCAUUGGUGGGCCAUAAUAGCCCUCAAAAUGCAUUGGACCAGGAUAAAAACCUGGCCUAAAUGGCAUUCCUGGACGUACAAAAGCUUCAGGCAUCUGAGGCCUGUAUAGCUCCCCAUUUUUUGGAUGGUGUCCCCUAGGACCAGCCCCUGGCAGAGGAACUGGCUGUGAAUUUGGUAAAGCUGGAGGCGGAAUUUGCGGACAGUAGUAAGGGAAUGGCUCAAUGGGGAAGCCGCCAGGUGCGACAGGGGCUCCAUAAGGUGGCCCCGCAGGAGGACCUCUAUACCAAACACCAGCUGGUGCAUUCAUGGGAGGGCCACGCCACGCAUCAAACUGUGGUGGGGGAAUAUUGGAAUUGACAUAUUGUUGAGGCUCCCCAUGCCACUUCACCUGGCUAGGCUGCAUCCCAUCAUCUGCACUUCGGGGACCAUCUCUGUCCCAUGCAUUAACUGUUCCGCUCGUGAUAUCUGGAUCAGAGAAGAAUCACCAUAAAUUACAUUCUAUAUUGCAUAAAAUUCUAUUACCUAGAUGGUAGUUCAAUAAUGACCAGAAAAGCUAAAAGCACAUUCACAGACCCUGACCAGCUUGAGAUUCUUCUGUCUUCUCUUUUCUCUGGGUGCCAGAAGCUGAACUAGGACGGCUAUGAGAACCCUGAUCUGCCAUUGAUUGUUAACGAAGCAAUCAAAACCUCAAGCACUAAUCAAGUUUGAUAAAACUAACAGUUAUCACAAGAAAAGAAAAGUUCCUGAAUGAAAGAGGCUUUAGAGAAAUGACUAGGACGCUUAUGCAGCAGAUCAAGAUAAAAGAUCACAAAUAAAAUCUACACACAAACAAUGAUCGAGUAUAAAAUCUGAUUUUAACUGCAAAGGGAACAAAUAAGCCCUCAGCCCCAAAUUGAGUUCACUCUGUUCCUAAUCAAAAUUUCAGACAUUCAAAACAAUUGUUUUUCCUUCUUUUGCAACUUUUGAAAAAUCCAGUCAAGGAAUAGAAAUUCCAAGUCAAGCAUAAGCAUGUGAGAACAUUGUUUAGUGGGAAAAAAAUGAAAUAAUAAUCCAAAAACAAAAAGCUUCACCAUGCAAGAACCAUAUGUGCAGAUGGUAUCCCAUUUCAAAAUCUUGAAAGAAAGACAGGCCCAUUCUUGUGCUCAACAGUGAAAAAUAUUUGCACAUAAGCUCUGGAAUUCCAGUACUAAGCUGAGUUCUUUGAGGUUGAGUAAGAUAUACGGCCUAUUAAUACCUUUCGUUUUUAAUUUAUAAUGAAGGUGAAUGAUGAAAAGUUCAACAUACGUACGCAAUUUUUCUUAGACCAAGUCAUACUAGGUGCUCCCUGCUUCUCUUCCUUAAUUCUCUCUUCUUCCACCUAUUUCUAUGAUUUUCCAUUCUCCUGCCCCACACACACGCACACCCACCCCCCAACAAAAAAGUGCUCUAUUGACAGGAGAUGCAAGAAAAAUGCAUCAUCUAUAAGGACAACAAAAACUUCUAGAGUACAUUUGCAAUUAAAAAUCACUAAAAAACCGUGAUCCGCGCACGUGAAAUACUGUAAAAUAGAUACUCCUAAGGGCAAUCUGUAAUGGAGGCAUCAGCAAAUAGCAACGUAUUAAAAAAUCCUAAUGGCAAAUAACCAAUUACCUCGUGGCUCAGAAUUCUUCGCAGAACCAUCUCUACUUGAAUUUAGUGUUGGAAAAUCCCCAGUACUCAGAGAGAACCUGUCAUUCUCGGAGGAAGCAACCCCCUGUCAGAUGCACAAGGUGAAUCAGCCUGAUAAAAAUCCUCAAUAAGGAAGAGAUACAAAUAGAAGAUCAACACAAUAAAGUAGAAUCUAAGAACAAAUUAAGGAACAAGGGAGGAGACCCAGAGGUUAACUAGUCUAAACCCAGGAAAUCAAGCAUGUCGGACAAUAGAAACAUACCACUCUUUCUGCAGUACCACUUGGAGCCCGCAGACCUGUACUAUCAGAUACAGUUUCUGCAAACCGUGACAGUUGUGAGCUACUAGGUCUUGUUUCUGCACUCUGUGGCCGCAGCGAGGUUGAUGUUUGGUUUGAUGCCAAUACUCCAGAAGCUGAUGAAGGCCUAGAACUUGGACCCCAUACAUUAGCAGUGCGCUCAUAUGUUCUAUCACUACCAGCAGUUGAUGGUCGACUACCACUUCCAGCAGAUGAUGGACGCCCACUCAGCUGGCUUGGUGAACUGACACUACCAUCAGCAUUUGAAGACUGUGUUGUGGAACCCCAUGGAUUGGAAGCAGAUGAUGAAGGGCGGCUUCCCCAACCAAGACUACCCCUAUGAGGCCCGAAAACCCAAUGAACUUGAUUAAAACAUACAGCCCAAAUAAUAAACAUACAAAGAAUGGGUAUCAAUCAACCGUAAGAGCAGCACAUCAAGCAAGCUGACAGGUGGACGUGUUUAUUUUAGAGAGAGAGAGGGAGGGAGGGAGGGAGGAAGUUUUUACUCACUUGGGAACAAUUUCCACAUUGGGAUCCAGGCCAUGAUUUUCUAACCUUCAAACAUCAUUCAAAAAAAGAUUCAGAAAGUAACCCUAGCGAACACCAAAGAAGAAAAGAUUAACUCAAGCAAAAAACAAUACCUUUGGCUGGGUAAAUUCAAAGGCUUUGGAACAGAAACUUUCCCCAACACAGUCAUUCCAGUUCGUCUUGCAGAAGCCCAUCUGCAACAAUAUCAUUAUAUCCAAUUGUAGAUCCCCAUCAAGAAGAUACAGAAUUUGUCAAACAUCAGAACCAAUAGCACCAAUCAGCUCCCAGAGAUGCACAUGCAUCCAAAAGGGCAAGGUGCCAACUACAACAGAAAGUAUAUAAACAAAACUCUAAUGACACAAAUAGAACUGAAAUUCCCAGUCUGAUCAAAGCCAAUACCCUAAACAGCACCAGAGUCUACCCCCCAAGUGUAAAAAAUAGACAAGUGAAAGAUAACAGAAGGAAGGUGACGAGAAAACAACAAUCUUCCGAUGCCGCCUUGGUCUAGUGGUCAACGAGUUAGACGUCUGGGUUCGAGCCUCAUUAAAUGUGAGCAUUCUCCAACUUUAUGUUAGUUAUCAUACCACUAUUUGUGGGUUAGUUAGUUGUGGUGUUAAUCACUUGAUUGGUUAUAACCAAUUUGCAUUGAUCCCAUUUUUGUGGGUUACUUGUACUCUGAGAAAGAAAAAAACUACAAUCUCUCUCCAUGAGACUUGUGGAGGCUUAAACUCCCCUCAUCAACUUAGUACUGCAAUGAAAUCUGCCAUGCACCCAGGGGAAAGAGGAAUUGGAAACACAAAACACAAAACACAAACUAAUUUUAUCCAUUAAGAAUGAAACUACACGAAUGAACUACAUACACAACAAAUGGGUGUGUGCCCAAACUACAUACACAAAAUCACCAUCAAACUACGUAUUCGAAAAAAAGCAACGCAGCAUCUCUUGUGCCUCAAACAUAGUUGCAUCAAUAAUCCAUUUCUUUGAUUUUCAAACUACAUCGUUUUCUUAUAAAAUGAAGCAAAAUCACACCCAAUACACCAUCUAUUAUGCCAACCUAAGGAGGACGAUAUCCAUACAUUGUUAUGCUGGUAAUCCAUUUCUUUUAGUUUGAAAGACGUGUAUACCAUUUUGGACCCACUGUCACUGGAGUGGACAAAAACAGAAGUUCAAUUGCAGAAAAAUGAUACGCACCAGCAACUUUAUUGAGUUAUUCAAACACAAUGUGUUUCAACCCCCUUUAAGAGCACUUUUGCAACUAUUUGGCAAUAUUAACCAAAAUCACAUACUUAGCUCUUGUAUAGCCAUAACCAGAUAUAAAAAAUGCAGACCUCAGCAUUUGUACCCACAAUUACCUAAAGUAUUCCUUUACCAUGCCCAAUGCAUUCCUAGCAAGUUAAUGAUGCAAAUCAAAGGGACACAUUGGUAAUUCUACCAAAAGCAGCCUCAUGUAGACAUAGGAUUACACAUCUUCAUAAACAGUAAAAACUCCCAACAAAUGACAGUAAAUGUGAGAUGGACCUUAUGAGGUAAUGCAAAAAUAGAAAAUAAUGCGAGCAAGACUACAGUAUUUAAAUGGAAAAAAGGUGACUCACCUCACAUACAUAUAGCAAAAACAAGCUACCCAAUUAACUUAGCUCUAGCUUAGAAGAUAAAAUAAGGUAUGAAACACAUGUUGAAGGUCUUUAAUGAGCUUGUAUAGAGAAACAGUUUUCAAAAAAAUUGACCAUAUCUCUACCUUCUUCAGCAGCUUAUUGUUAUAUAGAACCCACAGCUAUAUCCCCUACCCACAGAUAUGAAUAAUGUGUCUUACGAGCCUUUGCCUUCUCGAGACAGCACAACUUAGACUAUAUGCAGUAAUUUGAUCCGACCAUACAAACGUAUUAGCAUUGAAUCUAAUCUUACAGCGACAAAUAAAAAGAAUCUCUACCUUCGUUCUCCUGCUAAUAUAUUUGACGUCAUCUUCGAAAUAACAUCCCCAGAUCAUUCAGAUGAGUCGUGGUCUGGGUGAAAAUGCAAAGAGAAAUCAUCAGAGGUUACAAACAAAAGCUUAACAAUUACAGACAGAGCAAAAGCAAAACCAAUUAAAAUUAUCGUGCAUGAAAGUUCUAUUCUGCCUUUAUUGUACAGUUCCAGGAUUACAAAACUACAUACACUCUGGAACCAAAACAACACACAACAUAGAAAGCUUAGAGUCUGUUUGAGGGUGGUCCAUUUUUCAUGAAGCUUGUUCUAAGCAAAAAGCACAAAAUUUCAGGUAACCAAUAAGCAAUUUGAACCAAAAUGAUUUGCCCAAUAUUCGCCCAUGCAAUCCUGCCAAACAUUUCAAAGCACCUUUUCCUUCUCCAAACUGUUCCCAACCAUCUCCUUUACAAAUAUAAAAGGAGAAAAAAGACAAGGCAAUGCAAUCCUUUAAUACUUGCUAGCAAGAAAGUCAUGAAAAUCGUGUUCAUGACAACCUUCGAAAGCAGUUUUAGUGGGAACCCUCAAUCAAAUCCUUUCUAUUCAUUAUAAACCCUCCUUGAUUCGCAAAAGCCACCAGAGUUACUUUACUACAAAUAGAAACCUUUAAACGUCAGUAAGACACAAUUUUCAAAGAGAAACAAAAUCAGAAAACCUAUAAAAACAAAAAACAACAUUUAAACCUCUGUACAUGUUAAUACAUGUACUUAGACAAAAAAAUAAAAAAUAAAAAAAUUAUGCCCGAGUAACCCCAACAAGUACAGUGGAAUCAAUCCCUGGAACAUGACUCCCAUUCUAUCAAUAAAGCAAAAGCAAAAAGAAAUACUAACAGCUUUCAAGUCAAUGCACUAUCAAUUCACACAUGCCCAACCAGCACCUAAAAAUGCCCAACGCCCCUUUUUUUUGGCAAUUAAGCAAUAAAGCGCUACAACCCCGAAGACCUGAAGGCAUACACAUCAAUAAUAGUCUUUUCCUAAAAAUGCUUCAUAACUAGCGAACAGCAACUGAUCCUUGAGAGCUUAGAAUAAAUAUGAUCCUCAAAAUGUCAGUCAAUUUAACUACUUGUCCAUGACACUAUCAAGCCUAAAUCUGAUACACAAAGCAAGUCCUACCUGUACUAAAUAUGUGAAAUAAACCCCGAGAAUCCAUAAUUACAUUCAUCUGUCUACCUCCAACCAAAAUCACAAUAUGCACAAAAAGAAGGCUUUCUAAUAUAAUAAGACAUUGUGUAUUCACCAUAUCCUUAAAAAAAAAAAUUUCUCAAUCCCUACAUGAAAAUAGGAUACAUCAAUGCAAUCCUAAACCAAUGCUUGGAUGACUAUGUAAUCAGGAUCUCAACAAGUUUAACUACUUAACAACCUGCAUAGAAUCCUCUCCAACCCUUAAAAAUCAGAAGCUUGUCCAUCUUAACCAUAUAAAACAACCCAACAUAACAAAACAAAAACAUACAUAUUCCACCUAUCAAACAAAAUACACACACAAAGCCUCAAACUUUUCAAGGGCACAGCAUCAUAGACAGGGUUUAUCCUUUCAUCCAGUAAAAAGAAUAGAAAUAUGUCAAUUGCUUCACAUGAUCCGUAACAUCAAAUUUCUGAACCACAAAAGGACUACAUAGAAUUAAUAUAAAACGACUGUUUUGCAUAACCACACACCCACUUACAAUAACUAUAACACUCAAAAUACAAAAAACAGAUUUAACUUCUUAAGUGCCUCUCAACAGCCCCUCCCAAACCCCUUAAAGAGUAGCCAUCCAAAAGAACUCCACCCCUACGAAAUAUAUCAAAAUCCCACCCGCCAAAAAUACCAAGAUAUAGUAUACAAAGCUACCCAUAACUCCAACCAAAAGCAGAAAAUACACUAUAAAAGCCGUAUGCUUGCAGCAACACAACAUUAUCCACCGCUUAAUUCUUGAAUACCGUUAGUAUAAAGGAGAAUAUCUCAAUCAGUACCCAAACCACAAAAAAAAAAAAAAAUUGUUCGUAAACUGCAUAAUCGUAAAACUACUUAGCAGUAACUAUAACAUUUCAAAAAGGCAGCAAAUUCAACUAUUUAGCCAAGCUAACAAAGACUUCUCUUGAAACCCUAGAAUCAAAGACGCCCAUACCACAAUCCACCUCCGAAAAGAAAAACUAAAAAUACAUUCAAACAUCCUCCAAGCCAAAAACACAACAUACAGAGGAAAAAAGCCAGCAUCUUUUGCAGCAAUACAUCCUCAUAAACAAGGUUUCUCCUUUUUCUCCUUUUCCUUCUUCUUUCAUUUAACCAAAAUGAAGAAAAAAACUUCGAAACUCACAAAAUAGCUUCCAAAAAAUGCAACAAACAAACUGAAUCCCAAACACGGAGCCAAAAAGCAGAAGCUUACCGGAGUGAAAUCCGUUCGGAUCUUCAAGAAACUCCGAUCUAGGUAAACUUCUUUUCCUCGAGACAAAUACUAUAGGUAAAAUAAAGGUAUAAAAUUUUAUCUUCUAAAUCAAUAAAUUAUAAAUUAUAGAGAGAGAGAGGGGGGGGCAGGAGACCGGUGACGAUUAAAAGGUUUUCGCUCCUGAGUGCGUGAGUGUGUGUGUUUGCGUGCGCGCGUGUGCGCGUGUAUGUGAUUACGGUGAUGAGAAGGGAUCGGAGGAGGAGGAGGAGGAGGAGAUGGGGGGACAGGGGAACACGGGGAAGAAGGGGAAGAGUGCUUUCGGACUUUCGAGUUUCGAGUCGGAAGUGUGGAACCCACAAGUUGGGUGGGCCGUGGGGGGGCCUAGUGCUUUAACUCAUGGGAUAAUUUCAGAAACCUCCCUUGAGGUUUUUAACAAUUUCACUUAGUUCUCUUGAAGUUUUAAAAAUUAUGCAUACCUCCUUUGAGUUUAUCAUUUUGAUAACAAAAACUAUUCAAUGGUCAAAUUUUGAAUGAAUAACCUAAAUUAUGAAUAACCUAAAUUGUCCCGUGAAAUUGUGAAAUUCAUUUUAUUUUCUUAUAAAAUUCUAUAAAAAAAUAUAUGAAAUAUGCACAAAAUUUCAAACUCACUUUCAACCCUCAUCUUUACUAUUUUAAAUAUUUCAUAUUUCUACGUCUUGAAUUAAUACCAUUAUCUUUGUGAUCACUGCUACCAUAAGUACUAUUAAACUUAAAAAUUUUACUAACUAUAUGAAUAUAACAUCCCAUCUUCAAGUGUUGGAAUACCAAUACAUGCCCUGCUAUAUUUAAAUUUUCAACUUACAUUUAUUUCUAUUCAUCUUUAGAUCUUUCGAGCCAAACUAAAAUUAAUUUGUAAAUAUAUUAUAAUUAUGUUAAGGACAUAAUUACUUAUUCUAUAAGGAACCUUGUUUUUGUUUCCAUUAAAUAUUUAAUUGUAUGGUGCAUUUCUAUGCAUAAGAUUAGAGUCUAGUAUUUAAUUGCAUGAAAUAUAUCAAUAUAUUAAAGUUAUUAGGGUUAUUUUAUAGGAUUAAGGGAGGUAAGUGUAAUAUUAAAAAUCUCAAGAAUACUAGAUGCAAAUAUCAAAAACCUCGAGGGAGGUUUCGAGGUUUCUGAAAUUUUCCCUUAACUCUUUUGUUUAACUACGGUUGAGUUAAUAAUGAAAAAGCUAAAAAGUACUGCUAACUUCUUUACCUUUUUUCUUUACUUAUUUAUUUGUUUUUCCUCUUACAAUUUCAUAAAAAAAAGUCUAAAAACGUAAAAGAAACUAAUUCUUCUCUUAUAUUAAUUCAAGGGAAAAUCGUUCAAAAUGUUUCUCACAUUUUAUAAAAUAAUUUCUUUUAUCCUUUAUUUUUAAAAACGUUAUUUUACACCCCUUACAAUUCACAUUAGUCAAAUUUGAUUUUUAUAUGGGUUUUUAACUAGUUUUUGUCGGAAUCCACCACAUAUCUGGCACGUGAUCAUUUUUUAAAGGCAAAAUUGUUAAAUUAUAUUUCACAUAAUCUGAUCCAAGGUCCAUCACAUUUCACAAAAUAAAUUUUUUUGUCUCUCAUAUUUUAUAAAAUGAAUUUUUUUGUCUCUCACAUAUCACAAAAUGAAAAUUUUCAUCAAUCAUUGAUCAUAUGUACGAAUAGUUUUUUUUUUCUUGAAAAUUCAUAUAUAUAUUUAUUUGAUUUCACCUGAACAAUACAAAUAGCAUGUAAUAUAUUUGUACUUGAUUUCACCUCAACAAGCUAAUUUUAGUUAUAAGUAAAAUCAAAUAGAAAUAUAUUACAUAUUAUUCAUAUUGUUCAGGUGAAAUUAAUUAAAUAUAUACAUGGGUUUUAAAAAAAACUAUUUGAACAAAUGGCCAAUGAGAGAUGAAAAUUUUCAUUUUGACAUGUGUAUGAAUAAUUUUUUUCUUAUUUAUGAAAAUUCAUAUAUAUAUAUAUCUAUUUGAUUUCACCUAAACAGUACAAAUAACAUGUAAUAUAUGUCUAUUUGAUUUCACAUGAACAAGCUGAUUUAGUAGUAUGGGGGAGGGAGUAUAAGUGAGAGGUCUCAGAUUCAAACCCUCCCACUUAUACUAAAAAAAUAGAGAUAUAUUAUAUAUUAUUUAUACUAUUCAAGUGAAAUUAAAUAAAUAUAUAUAUUUUAAAAAAAAGACUAUUUGUACACAUGAUCAAUGAGGGAUGAAAAAAAUUCAUUUUGUAAAAUAUAAGAGAUAGAAAAAUUGAUUUUGUGAAAUGGGAGGGAUUAUGAAUUGGAUUAUAUGAAAUUUGAUUUGACAAUUUUGUUCCUAAAAUAUGAUCAUAUGCAAAGCACGUGGUGUAUUCCGGCCAAAAAUUAGUCGGAAACCUAGGUAAUGAUCAAAUUUGAUCAAUGUAAAUUUAUAACGAACGUAAAAUUAUACUUUUAAAAAUGAAUGACGAAAAAAGUUAUUUUUCAAAAUAUGAGGGACGCUUUGAACGAUUUUUCUUUAAUUUAAUUGACUCUUUUGUCUUUUCAAAUUAUAUGUAUAUGUGCGUGUGCGCACUGAAUUGUAUUACUAUUAGGCUGUAAAUGGUUUUAUUUCAACUGUACAAUUGGAAUUAUUGUCUUAUUGGCAAAAUUUUGGAGUCUUGGUGCCUUUCCACUUUUUUCUACUUCUGUCAAGUCAUUAUAUGCUUGUUAAAGAGGUAAUCGUUUCAAUGUAUUUAAUGGCCGUGAUUUGGCUACUAUGUUUAAAAGUUUAAAUAUAUGGUCGAAAUUGUGUUGUAUAAAUCUGGAUUCACGAUUGUAAACUUUUUAUUGGAAGUAGUAAGUCUUUCUAAUAUUACAAAAUUUUAGAAAUUGUUUUUUGACGAAUUAUAAUUUAUUAACGACGUCGUAUGAUUUGAGAUGAUUGUGACUGACAAUCAUCUUGCACCUCUCCCAUUCUCAAUUCAUCAAAUUCUACUGGUGUAAUGCUAAUAAUUAAAAUGACAUUUAACCCUUCAGAGUUUUGGGCAAACUAUGAAAUGAACCCUAAAGUUUAAACAAGUUAUAUUCAAAUCGCUUGAAUGGUUAAAACUUGAGUUUGACAAAUAAAUAGUUUCCAGGUGGUAAGGGACAUUAGACAUUCUGCGGAUCCUGCGCCUACCAAUUGGAGAUGAAAAGAGUGCAAAUAAGGCUACGCUGUUUGAGCUCAACUACUCGGAUUCGACUCAAUUUAAAAAACUUAAAUUCAAGUUUGAUUUUAUUUUAUCUUACUCAAAUUCAAAUUCAAACCCGUGCAACGCACACCCAAUCGAUCAAUGAGCUUUCAAAAUUCACGUAUUAGGUUUGAACUCGAACUUGUCAAGUAGUUUGGAUUGCUCGAACUUGAAUAAUGGAGCUCAAAUUUUGACCAAAUAAUCUCGCAAUCUAUUUGAUUGAACCCUACUUGUUUGCACCAUUAAGUAUGAGGACGGGUGGAAGGGUUACAAAAAGUUUAUUAAAAAUUUUACCAAUUUGAAGCAAAUAAAGCUAAUUAUAGAGAGGAGAUGGAUGAAUUGGAUGAUACUGAGAAGAGAUGGAUAAGUUAGAGAUCGGAAUUCAAAACUUCCAAUUUACACGAAAAGAAAAAAAAAAAAACUAAUUAUAGAAAAAGCUAGGCAACUAAAACUAGAUAUAUAGCAAAACAAAAACACACACACAAAUAGAUACUCCAUGAUCCCAACUAGUUUCAAAAGAUAAUAACAAUUAAGCACAAUAAAAGAGAUGUAAAGGACUUAAGGACUCACAUCAAAGGUAAUUAAGUAUUACGCCUCAGUACAAAAUUGUACAAAUUGUUUGCGAUGAAUUACAACUUGUUAUUAUAAAAUUACACGGUUCACCAACCGUAGUACCGUUCUUACAACAUUUUGUAACUCAAACUAGGAGGCGCGGUGUAAAUUUCAAAGACUGACAUGCCCGGUGUUGCUGAGUAAGCUAAUAAGAAACUGUAUU